rnacentral:rRNA from 1 species
UACGAAGGGGGCUAGCGUUGCUCGGAAUUACUGGGCGUAAAGGGCGCGUAGGCGGCACUGUUAGUCAGGCGUGAAAGUCCUGGGCUCAACCUGGGAACUGCGCUUGAUACGGCAGAGCUAGAGGAUGGAAGAGGCUCGCGGAAUUCCCAGUGUAGAGGUGAAAUUCGUAGAUAUUGGGAAGAACACCGGUGGCGAAGGCGGGUCACUGGGCCGAUACUGACGGCUGAGGAGCGAAAGCGUGGGGAGCGAACAGG